UACGAAGGGUGCAAGCGUUACUCGGAAUCACUGGGCGUAAAGCGUGCGUAGGCGGUUCGUUAAGUCUGCUGUGAAAGCCCUGGGCUCAACCUGGGAACUGCAGUGGAUACUGGCGGACUAGAGUGUGAUAGAGGAUGGUGGAAUUCCCGGUGUAGCGGUGAAAUGCGUAGAGAUCGGGAGGAACACCAGUGGCGAAGGCGGCCAUCGUGGAUCAACACUGACGCUGAGGCACGAAAGCGUGGGGAGCGAAUGGG
rnacentral:rRNA from 1 species